GACGUAGGGCGCGAGCGUUGUCCGGAUUUAUUGGGCGUAAAGAGCUCGUAGGCGGCUUGUCGCGUCGUCCGUGAAAACCUGCGGCUCAACUUCAGGCUGGCGGUCGAUACGGGCAGGCUGGAGUUCGGUAGGGGAGACUGGAAUUCCUGGUGUAGCGGUGAAAUGCGCAGAUAUCAGGAAGAACACCCGUGGCGAAGGCGAUUCUCUGGGACGGUACUGACGCUGAGACGCGAAAGCGUGGGGAGCGAACAGG
rnacentral:rRNA from 1 species